CUGGGAUCGUGUUCCUGCUUUGUCAUCUGCCCAAGGUCACUUGUGGUCAUCUUGCCCUUCUGCAAGCUGCCUGACAUGACGAACUCUGAGCUGUGUCUUAUUCUGUGGCUGGAAGAAUUGAAGGAGCAGUCUGAAGCUGCAGUGAGAAGAAUCCCUCUGCCCAGAGACUCCACUGUCAUGUGAGAGCCCAAACCUUGGCCACCUUCACCGAGAGAUGACAGGAAGGAGCCAGAAGCUGGCCUGGAGAGGGAGCUGUCCAGGUCACACCCGCUGCCACAACCCCAUCUACGGCGCACACCAGUGAGUCACUGAGCCGGGUCCUCCGCGCUGAGCCCUUUCCUGAUCCCACCACAGGAAUUGCAGAUGCGUCACCUGGACCUGCUUGGGAAGAUCCGCCAGCGUCCGGGUCGCCUCUCUCAGCAUAGCCAUGCCAGCAGGAGAGCCUGGCUGCAACAAGGAUGGCAGGAGACACGCAGUUCCCCACCUUCCAAAUUCCCAUUCGGGCUCAAGCAGACUGUGCGAAGAUCCCUGACUGUUGGGAGUUCUUGAGAACAUUUCUUUAAGCUUUUAACAAUU